UAUCCGCUGCGCGGUUUGUGAGGUCUCGAAUAUCCCGGGGGCGAUAACAUUUCUCAGGGAACUGUCCCUGUUGGGGUCGUGGCCCCAGCAUAUGGUACCCACCUGGUUAUCCAGGUCCCAUGAGGAUGUACUCGAUCAACGGCCGUCGCGGCGGUGUU
rnacentral:other from 1 species